UGCAGAAUCCCGUGAACCAUCGAGUUUUUGAACGCAAGUUGCGCCCGAAGCCUUUGGCUAAGGGCACGUCUGCCUGGGCGUCACGC
rnacentral:rRNA from 1 species